rnacentral:rRNA from 1 species
GCCCCGAGAUGAGUUCUCCCUGACUCCUGGAGAGUCCUGAAGGAACGUUGAAGACGACGACGUUGAUAGGCCGGGUGUGUAAGCGCAGCGAUGCGUUGAGCUAACCGGUACUAAUGAACCGUGAGGCUUAACCGUACAACGCCGAAG